rnacentral:rRNA from 1 species
GGUGAACGCUGGCGGCGUGCCUAACGCAUGCAAGUCGAUCGGAGCAGCAAUGCUUAGAGGCGAACGGGUGAGGAAAACGUAGUAACCAACCCUUUAGACUGGGAUAGCCACUGGAAACGGUGGGUAAUACCGGAUAAGCUCGAGAGAGGAAAGGCAGAGAAGCGCUAAGGACGGACUGCGCCCAUCAGAUAGUUGGUGAGGUAAAGGCUUACCAAGUCAAAGACGGGAAACCGACGUGAGAGCGUGUACGGUCACAAGGGCACUGAGAGACGGGCCCUACUCCUACGGGAGGCAGCAGUGGGGAAUAUUGGACAAUGGACGAAAGUCUGAUCCAGCGACGCCGCGUGGAGGAAGAAGUCCUUCGGGAUGUAAACUCAUGAAGCUAACGAAUAAGACGGAAGGGGAACCUUCCGGGAGAAGGUAAUUAGUGAAAAGCCCCGGCUAACUACGUG